rnacentral:lncRNA from 8 species
GCUAUGGAGGAUAUGGAGGGGUACCAGCAGGAGGGGCUGCUGCUGCGGCCAAAGCUGCUAAAUAUGGAGUACCAGGAGGUGCAGGAGCAGGCCUUGGAGCUGGAGGACUUGGAGGAGCAGGAGGAGUACCAGGGGCUGGAGGAUAUAACCCUGCAGUGGCCAAAGCGGCUAAAUAUGGUAAAAUCCCUCAAAACAAUCAAUCUUAUUCAGUGUUGGUACAUUGGUUGAAUUUACGUCCAUCUUUGGCUUUUUAAAUUGUGGUGUAACAAACCUACUGUAUCUUUGGCAGUUCUGAAGUUGGACAGUCCAUUCAAAAUCAAAUUGUUUUCUUGUGGUCCUCUACCACAGGAGUCCCCGGAGGUGCAGGAGCAGGCAUAAGAGCUGGAGGAACAGGAGGAUUACCAGGAGGAGGAGCAGGGGGUGUACCUGGGGCUGGAGGAUAUAAUCCCGCUGCAGCCAAAGCUGCUAAAUAUGGUAAGAUUACUCAUCAGAGUUGGUAUAUUGGUUGAAUUCAUGCUCAUUCAUGUUGGUUUUGAAAUCAUAUAUUUUCCUUGUGAACCUCUACACAGGAGUCCCAGGAGGUGUAGGAACAGGCCUAGGAGCAGGAGGACUUGGAGGAGGAGGACAGGGAGGAGUACCUGGACAAGUAGGAGCUGGAGGUACGUCAGAGGAUGUGUAUGAAUGGUAAAGACAUCAGAAAGAGCUCAAACAGUAUCAUGGUCUAGUCUGUCUUUCUAUGCGAUAUCAAGGUGAUGCAACAUUACAUUUUUUACAUUUUAGUCAUUUAGCAGACGCUCUUAUUCAGAGCGACUUACAGUAGUGAAUGCAUACAUUUCAUACAUUUUUCCCCGUACUGGUCCCCCGUGGGAAUCAAACCCACAACCCUGGCGUUGCAAACACCAUGCUCUACCAACUGAGCCACACGGCUCAGUUGCAUGCAAUAAGAAUAUGAAUUAUGUGAUGCUUGUGAUUGCAGGAUAUGAUCCCGCAGCCAAAGCUGCUAAAUAUGGUAAGAGCCUCUCUCGUUGUAUCAUAACUUUUAGUCUAUGUAAUGCAGACCAGUGGAAGAACAAUAAUGUUUUCCUGUUCUGUGCAGUCUCUGUACAGUACCUAUUCUCUCUUAGCUGGAUCAAGAUUUUCACUAUGGCUCAACAGAUUAUACUCUACCUUGAACUAUGUUCUUACCUGCCCGCAGGUAUGCCAAGUGGGGCGGGCAUCGGUGGAGAAGGUGUGCCAGCACCUAUAGCGACUCCAAGACCAGGUGUGGGCGUGGGUGGUGGUGUUGGAGGAACUGCCAUUGAGCGCACUGACGUACCAGUGGGCACAGGGAUACCUAUCGCAGGCAAACCAGGUGCCACAGGAGUAACUGGAGUUGGGGCUGGGGUUCUUCAACCUAGUGUUGGUACAGGCCCAGCUCAGCCUGGUGUGGGUGUCGGAGCAGGUGGCAAAGCUCCUAAACCCCCUGGUGCAGGGGGAUACCCGUAUGGUGGUUAUGGACAGGGUGCUGGUGGAUAUCCCUAUGGAGGAGGACAUGGAAAUCCAUACGGAGCAGGAGCUGGACAACUUCCUGGAGCCAAGCCCCUGAAACCUCCAGUUGUGGGAGGAGCAGGUGGUGUGGCUGGAGGAGCAGGUAUCCCUCUUACUGGAGCAGGUGGUGGUGCAGGGGGAUACCCGUAUGGUUAUGGUCAAGGUGGUUAUGGACAGGGACAGGGUGUGAGGUAUCCCACUGGUGUUGGUCUGGGGGCAGGAGCAGGUCAAAAAGCACCCAAACCCCCAGGUUAUGGUAACCUAGGUGCUGGUGGUGCUGGUUAUAAUCCAGGUGCUGGUGCGGUCCCAGGUUACGGCGGUGGCUACCCACAACAACAGGGUUACCCACAGCAAGGUGGCAGCUACCCACAACAACCCUACCCAGGUAACGUGUAUAACCUCUAUCUGUGA